UUGCUCUUCAACGAGGAAUACCUAGUAAGCGCGAGUCAUCAGCUCGCGUUGAUUACGUCCCUGCCCUUUGUACACACCGCCCGUCGCUACUACCGAUUGAAUGGCUUAGUGAGGUCUCCGGAUCGGCCGCGGGGAGCCGGCGACGGCACCCCUUGGUUGAGAAGUUGAUCAAACUUGGUCAUUUAGAGGAAGUAAAAGUCGUAACAAGGUUUCCGUAGGUGAACCUGCGGAAGGAUCAUUAGUGAGGCUACGGCCAUGAUAUAACAAACCUGUGUGAACCGCCCUCGGGCAGCCCUCGGGCAUUACAAACCUGAUGUAACGAACGUUGAUUAUGGGAAUAAACACAACUUUCAACAAUGGAUCUCUUGGCUCUCGCAUCGAUGAAGAACGCAGCGAAAUGCGAUAAGUAAUGUGAAUUGCAGAAUUCAGUGAAUCAUCGAAUCUUUGAACGCACCUUGCACCCUCUGGUAUUCCGGAGGGUAUGCCUGUUUGAGUGUCAUGAAGCCUCAACCUUGACGGGAGACCGUCUCGGUUGGAUUUGGGCGUCUGCCGUCUGGCUCGCCUUAAAAGCAUUAGCGGUCGACUUUGACUCUGGCGUAUUAGGUUCCGUCAGCUUAGAGGUCGUCAGCUCACAACCCGCCCUCGGGCACUUCAUUCGAUUUGACCUCAGAUCAGGUAGGACUACCCGCUGAACUUAAGCAUAUCAAUAAGCGGAGGA
rnacentral:rRNA from 1 species